rnacentral:rRNA from 1 species
GACGAACGCUGGCGGCGUGCUUAACACAUGCAAGUCGAACGGAAAGGCCCUGCUUUUGUGGGGUGCUCGAGUGGCGAACGGGUGAGUAACACGUGAGUAACCUGCCCUUGACUUUGGGAUAACUUCAGGAAACUGGGGCUAAUACCGGAUAGGAGCUCCUGCUGCAUGGUGGGGGUUGGAAAGUUUCGGCGGUUGGGGAUGGACUCGCGGCUUAUCAGCUUGUUGGUGGGGUAGUGGCUUACCAAGGCUUUGACGGGUAGCCGGCCUGAGAGGGUAACCGGCCACAUUGGGACUGAGAGACGGCCCAGACUCCUACGGGAGGCAGCAGUGGGGAAUAUUGCACAAUGGGCGGAAGCCUGAUGCAGCAACGCCGCGUGCGUGAUGACGGCCUUCGGGUUGUAAACCGCUUUCGCCUGUGACGAAGCGUGAGUGACGGUAAUGGGUAAAGAAGCACCGGCUAACUACGUG